AAUACUAAUCUUAUAAGUAUGAAAGACAUAUUAAAAAGAUUUGAAAAAGAGAAUAUUAUCCCAAUUGGAAUAAAAGAAUUACAGCAAGAAAUAAAACAAACUUAGUGGUGCCCCAAUUUUGUUACCUGUACCAAGAGAUAUAGUUGCGAAUUAUAUGCCUAGAGCAAAAAGACAUUCCCAAACUUCAAAAAGGAAAUUGAACGCACUCUGAAAAGCAUAGAGGUUUUAAAAGAAGAUACUCUCACUUCUUCUAAGAGGAAGGGGAUAUAGUCACUAACUAUAUAGUUAGAAGAACUUUGGAAACUAGAAGAAAAACUUAUUGGUGGCAGAGAUCUCGGGUCAAUUGGGUUUCAGUUGGUGACCUUAACACUCGAUUUUUCCAACUCAUCCACCAAGAUUCGUAGGGAAAAAAAAUCAAAUAAUGAAGCUUCAUUCUGCUUCUGGCCAAUGGUUUGACUCUGAGCAGGAAAUUGGGUCCUUAAUUUUAGAUUUUUAUAAAGAUUUAUUCUUUGCUAAUCAUAAUAGCGACUUACAUCUCGUCUUGAACUAUGUUUAGCCUUGCAUAUCUGAAGAUCAAAAACAAUUGACUGGCUUCACCUAUCUGUGAAGAAGAGCUAUAGCAGGCAGUCUUUCAACUUGGCACUUCAAGGGCUCCAGUCCUUAUGGUUUUAAUGGCCACUUUUACCAAGUCUUGGGAUGAGGGUCGUUUGAAAGUAGCUGCCCUUGCUUAAGCCAGAGAAAAAGUAGGGAAGAAAGUUCAUGAUUGGAGAAGCAUAAAAGAAUGGGAAGUAUACCUCUAAGCUUGGCUAUAGACUCGAAUAUGCUAGGACUCAUCCAGCGAUCUUAUCGGUGCCUAGUGUUUCUAAUAGCAUUAUGGAAGCAUGUAUAGCAACUAAAAAUCCAUCCAAAAGUUAAGCAUUUCAUUUGGAGGGCUCUUAAUCGGUCCUUUGCAACUAAAGAUGCUCUUUUCUCCCUUAAAUGCGCAUCAAAUCCUCUUUGCCCUCUUUGCAAUUAUCAGCUUGAAAACAAUUGAGCACAGGUUGCUUCUUUGUGAUUGGGUUGCAGUUGAGGAAUAUUGGACCACCAAUAAUUUAAUAGGUGAGACAAAACCUGCUGAUCAUUCGCGAAUUCACUCGACUCCAUUUGAAUGUGAUUCUGUAAAAAUCAAUUGCGAUGGGGCUUUUGUCCCAUAUUCUAGUAAAGCCUUUAUAGGAGUAAUUUGUAGAGAUCAUGAUAGUACUUUUCUUCAAGGUUGGAGGGAGCCUGUGACAGCAGAUUCAAGUUUUAUGACUGAACUCCUUGCUUGCCAAAAAGCUGUUCAGCUUGCCUUGGAUUAUAGCAACCAAAAGGUUAUAGUGGAAACUGAUUGUCUCGAUUUAUUCAAAGCUUUAUCAAAGAAAGACUUCUCUUGCUGCGCUUGGUCUACUCACAAUGCUCUUAGUGACCUAUAUGAAUAGCUUGAGUCUCACAGCUUCAUCUCCUUCUCGUUUGUCAAGCGGGAAGGCAAUUUUGCUGCUGACUGAUUGGUAGGCUCUUCCUUAAAGGGCGUGGAUUCUACUCGAUUACUUCUCAGCAUGCCACUGCCUCUUUCAGCCAUUGUUCAAUUUGACUCAUUUUUCUCGGUCUUCCUUUCAGCACCCUGUGAUCCCACAAGGACUUGGAGUUGGGGAAGAUGAUUGGCACUGUUGAGAUGAUAGAGGGGCUCUAUUGUUUGGCUAUAUAGCAAGUUGAACGUGGCUUCUCAACUAGUCUUGAUGCUAAAUCAAAGUCACUUGAUCAAUUUACAAAUAAUGAAGUGUUGUCGUGGCACUAUAGGAUUUGAAGAGGCCAAGGCUGCUAUUCUAUUGAUGAGCCUAAUCACCCUUCUAGCUCUCAUUAGAUCCAAGAUUCAACUCCAACUUCAGCUUCUGAUGAUCAUGGGUGGCCUAUUACUUUAAGGAAAGGGCUAAGAAAAUGUACUAUGCACCCUAUUAGUAAUUUUGUCUCUUAUGACAAACUCUCACCUUGCAUGUAAAGUUUUAUGGUAAAGUUAUCAGAAGAAAGAUUACCCUUUAAUUAUCAAGAAGCAAUUUCUGAUUAGAAUUGGAAGGAAGCCACUCAUGAUGAAUUAACCGCAUUGAAAAACCAUACUUCGAAAAUUACUAAGCUGCCUCCAAGAAAGAAAAGUAUGGGGUGUAGAUGGGUUUUUACAAAGAAGUAUAAUCCAAAUGGAACUCUUAAUAAAUACAAAGCCCGGCUUAUUGCAAGAGGGUACUCGCAGACUUAUGAUGGUAUUGAUUACCAAGAAACGUUUGCUCCUAUUGCAAAGUUGAAUACCAUUCGGGUGCUAUUAUCCUUGGCCGCCAAUUGUGAUUGGCCUUUACAUCAAUUAGAUGUUAAAAAUGCUUUUUUUCAAUGGAGACUUGAAGGAGGACGUGUACAUGGAGAUUCUUGAGGGAUUAUCAAAAUAAAGAAAGCCAGGUGAAGAGAGCACGAGAAGACUGAGAAAGGAAUCAAGAAAAGAGUAGCCUCACUUGGUAGUGUUUUGAUUAGAAGCAUUUCUGGAGCUUUGUGGACGUUUUUGGAAGGCUUUUGGAUGAAGAAAUCAAGAACAAAAUGAAUGAUUUUCGUUAGCUAUAAAAACAGUGCAAAACUACCAAGUCGUCUCAAAGUCGUGACUUUCGUUCGCGACUUUCGUCGCUGUUAGAAAAACGCUGCGUUUCAUUUAUCAGAAAUUAGUUGGCUAAGACACAUAUAAGCUAAGAGCUCGACCUAGAAUGCAUUCUUUAGAAUUUUAGACACUUUUGGAGGUUGGUUGUGCUAGGGUUUGGGCAUUGGAAGAGUUGGGAUCAAGAGAUUGAAGCUUUAAAGGCAUUUGGAACUCAUUUUCUUCAGUUUUUCUAUUCCUCUUCCCUUUCCUCUCUUAUAAUUUGAAAUGGGUCCACUUAUUUUGUAUAUUUGUAGCUUGUGGAUGAUUAUGAGUAGCUAAACCCUUUGUUCUAGGAUUAUUUGGAACCCUUGUAUGGAUUAACACUAUAUUUCUCCUCUCUU